GCUAAAUUUUGGAAUAUUUCUUUUGGCACGGUCCCAGAUGUUGAGGGGAUUAGAAAGUUUUGAAAUUUUUUUGUUUCUUUUCCGUUGCUGCUAUUUAUGCGUAUGGCUGGGAGAAUCAAUUAAAAGGAGAUGCUAGAGUGGGGGCAUGGAUUCCGAAUUUAAGGUAUAUUCUUUAUGGGUGAGGUGUUGCAACUGUUUAAGAAGUAGCAGAAUCAAAAGGAUGGAAAACAUGGAAGAGGGAUAUAAACCAUGU
rnacentral:misc_RNA from 1 species